CUUAUAGUGUAAAUAACACGUCAGUCUUUCAAACUGAAGAUGACAAAGCUCUAAG
rnacentral:tRNA from 1 species